rnacentral:tRNA from 1 species
GGGGCCGUGGCAGAGCGGCCCAUGGCGAUCGGUGUGGGCGAGGCCCCGCUCACACGACGGGGAACGAGCGGGCCUGCCCCUUCCUGUCCGCGGGUUCGAAUCCCGCCGGCCCCG